AACGAACGCUGGCGGCAGGCUUAACACAUGCAAGUCGAGCGCCCCGCAAGGGGAGCGGCAGACGGGUGAGUAACGCGUGGGAAUCUACCUUUUGCUACGGAAUAACGCAGGGAAACUUGUGCUAAUACCGUAUGUGUCCUUCGGGAGAAAGAUUUAUCGGCAAGAGAUGAGCCCGCGUUGGAUUAGCUAGUUGGUGGGGUAAAGGCCUACCAAGGCGACGAUCCAUAGCUGGUCUGAGAGGAUGAUCAGCCACAUUGGGACUGAGACACGGCCCAAACUCCUACGGGAGG
rnacentral:rRNA from 1 species